rnacentral:rRNA from 1 species
CGAACGGUAACAGGAAGCAGCUUGCUGCGUCGCUGACGAGUGGCGGACGGGUGAGUAAUGUCUGGGAAGCUGCCUGAUGGAGGGGGAUAACUACUGGAAACGGUAGCUAAUACCGCAUAAUGUCGCAAGACCAAAGAGGGGGACCUUCGGGCCUCUUGCCAUCGGAUGUGCCCAGAUGGGAUUAGCUUGUUGGUGGGGUAACGGCUCACCAAGGCGACGAUCCCUAGCUGGUCUGAGAGGAUGACCAGCCACACUGGAACUGAGACACGGUCCAGACUCCUACGGGAGGCAGCAGUGGGGAAUAUUGCACAAUGGGCGCAAGCCUGAUGCAGCCAUGCCGCGUGUAUGAAGAAGGCCUUCGGGUUGUAAAGUACUUUCAGCGGGGAGGAAGGGAGUAAAGUUAAUACCUCUGCUCAUUGACGUUACCCGCAGAAGAAGCACCGGCUAACUCCGUGCCAGCAGCCGCGGUAAUACGGAGGGUGCAAGCGUUAAUCGGAAUUACUGGGCGUAAAGCGCACGCAGGCGGUUUGUUAAGUCAGAUGUGAAAUCCCCGGGCUCAACCUGGGAACUGCAUCUGAUACUGGCAAGCUUGAGUCUCGUAGAGGGGGGUAGAAUUCCAGGUGUAGCGGUGAAAUGCGUAGAGAUCUGGAGGAAUACCGGUGGCGAAGGCGGCCCCCUGGACGAAGACUGACGCUCAGGUGCGAAAGCGUGGGGAGCAAACAGGAUUAGAUACCCUGGUAGUCCACGCCGUAAACGAUGUCGACUUGGAGGUUGUGCCCUUGAGGCGUGGCUUCCGGAGCUAACGCGUUAAGUCGACCGCCUGGGGAGUACGGCCGCAAGGUUAAAACUCAAAUGAAUUGACGGGGGCCCGCACAAGCGGUGGAGCAUGUGGUUUAAUUCGAUGCAACGCGAAGAACCUUACCUGGUCUUGACAUCCACGGAAGUUUUCAGAGAUGAGAAUGUGCCUUCGGGAACCGUGAAACAGGUGCUGCAUGGCUGUCGUCAGCUCGUGUUGUGAAAUGUUGGGUUAAGUCCCGCAACGAGCGCAACCCUUAUCCUUUGUUGCCAGCGGUCCGGCCGGGAACUCAAAGGAGACUGCCAGUGAUAAACUGGAGGAAGGUGGGGAUGACGUCAAGUCAUCAUGGCCCUUACGACCAGGGCUACACACGUGCUACAAUGGCGCAUACAAAGGGAAGCGACCUCGCGAGAGCAAGCGGACCUCAUAAAGUGCGUCGUAGUCCGGAUUGGAGUCUGCAACUCGACUCCAUGAAGUCGGAAUCGCUAGUAAUCGUGGAUCAGAAUGCCACGGUGAAUACGUUCCCGGGCCUUGUACACACCGCCCGUCACACCAUGGGAGUGGGUUGCAAAAGAAGUAGGUAGCUUAACCUUCGGGAGGGCGCUUACCACUUUGUGAUUCAUGACUGGGGUGAAGUCGAAACAAGGUA